GACGAACGCUGGCGGCGUGCUUAACACAUGCAAGUCGAACGCUGAAGCUCAGCUUUUGUUGGGUGGAUGAGUGGCGAACGGGUGAGUAACACGUGAGUAACCUGCCCCCUUCUUUGGGAUAACGCCCGGAAACGGGUGCUAAUACUGGAUAUUCACUGGUCUUCGCAUGGGGGUUGGUGGAAAGGGUUUUUCUGGUGGGGGAUGGGCUCGCGGCCUAUCAGCUUGUUGGUGGGGUGAUGGCCUACCAAGGCUUUGACGGGUAGCCGGCCUGAGAGGGUGACCGGUAACAUUGGGACUGAGAUACGGUCCAGACUCCUACGGGAGGCAGCAGUGGGGAAUAUUGCACAAUGGGCGCAAGCCUGAUGCAGCGACGCCGCGUGAGGGAUGGAGGCCUUCGGGUUGUGAACCUCUUUCGCUCAUGGUCAAGCCGCAACAAUGGUUGUGGUGAGGGUAGUGGGUAAAGAAGCGCCGGCUAACUACGUG
rnacentral:rRNA from 1 species